rnacentral:rRNA from 1 species
UACAGAGGUCUCAAGCGUUGUUCGGAUUCAUUGGGCGUAAAGGGUGCGUAGGCGGCGCGGUAAGUCGGGUGUGAAAUCUUGGAGCUUAACUCCGAAACUGCAUUCGAUACUGCCGUGCUUGAGGACUGGAGAGGAGACUGGAAUUUACGGUGUAGCGGUGAAAUGCGCAGAUAUCGUAAGGAAGACCAGUGGCGAAGGCGGGUCUCUGGACAGUUCCUGACACUGAGGCACGAAGGCCCAGGGGAGCAAAACGGG